rnacentral:rRNA from 1 species
UACGUAGGCAGCGAGCGUUGUUCGGAUUUACUGGGCGUAAAGGGAGCGUAGGCGGUUCGGCAAGUCUUUAGUGAAAUCUCUGGGCUCAACUCAGAGUCUGCUGGAGAAACUGCCGGACUGGAGUAUGGGAGAGGUGAGUGGAAUUCCCGGUGUAGCGGUGAAAUGCGCAGAUAUCAGGAAGAACACCAAUGGCGAAGGCAGCUCUCUGGGACGGUACUGACGCUGAGACGCGAAAGCGUGGGGAGCGAACAGG